rnacentral:rRNA from 1 species
AACGUAGGGUGCAAGCGUUGUCCGGAAUUACUGGGUGUAAAGGGAGCGCAGGCGGGAAGACAAGUUGGAAGUGAAAACCAUGGGCUCAACCCAUGAAUUGCUUUCAAAACUGUUUUUCUUGAGUAGUGCAGAGGUAGAUGGAAUUCCCGGUGUAGCGGUGGAAUGCGUAGAUAUCGGGAGGAACACCAGUGGCGAAGGCGGUCUACUGGGCACCAACUGACGCUGAGGCUCGAAAGCAUGGGUAGCAAAC